UAAAUCAAUUGCAUAAAUACACACGCAGAGAUAAGAGUAUUGCAAAUUUGCAAUUACGAUUGCUAAAAAAAAUAAAUAAAAAUAUACAUAAAUAUAUAUACAGAAUAAUAAUGUCUGCGUCGAUUGUGGAGCCUCACGACAAGAUGAGGGCUCGAGACGUUAACAAGGUGGCCAGGGGGGAGCAAGCCCCCCGCCCGCCCCAACAAUCGCCGCCGGUCUCCCGCCCGCCACCGCCUUCCUCCUCCGCCGCCACCGCCGAUCACUCCUCUGAUAAGGAAGAGAUUAAUUUCGAUCAUUCGACUCAAUCGAAGAAAGAUAACUCUUCCAAUCAGAAGCAACGAUGUUACGAUAGUUACUAUGAGUAUCAUAAGUGCAUCCAAGAAAAGGGAAAUGAAGCACAAGAAUGCAAGAAGGUUGCCGAGUACUACAAAUCGAUGUGUCCCGAUUGGAUUGGAAGUUGGAGAAUUGAGUGAAAGAGAGCAUAUAAUGACCUAGGAAGUAUACGAUAAAGUUCUAAUCGUAUACAAGAUGGUUUUUGCUCGCCUUUGAAUCUAAUUAUUGGCUAACGAAGAUGAGGUCUAGAAGUCGACGAUUCAACUUUUUACUUGAACACGUCAGCUCAAAUAAAACCAGAAGGUUAGAUCGUCUGGCAAGAUAGAUUAACGGCAACCAUUUGUUACAAAUAAUAAUAAUAAUAAUAAAGAAAAUAUCUGAAUCCUGUGGACAUAAUUGUGCAAUAUUAUCUGUCCUCGACAAGAACAAUUUAAGAAUUUUGUCGUGACCAUUGUACAAACCAUUGCUCAUCAUUGCAACGGCCAAAACUGUACAAUUAAUUA